GUGGGGAAUAUUGGGCAAUGGGGGAAACCCUGACCCAGCGACGCCGCGUGAGGGAAGACGGCCUUCGGGUUGUAAACCUCUUUUGUACGGGAAGAAGGAAGUGACGGUACUGUACGAAUAAGUCCCGGCUAACUACGUGCCAGCAGCCGCGGUAAUACGUAGGGGACGAGCGUUGUCCGGAAUUACUGGGCGUAAAGGGCGCGCAGGCUGUGCUGCAAGUCAGCUGUGAAAUGUCUGGGAUUAACCCGGGCAUGCGGUUGAGACUGCAGUGCUGGAGUGCUGUAGAGGCAAGUGGAAUUCCCAGUGUAGCGGUGAAAUGCGUAGAUAUUGGGAAGAACACCGGUGGCGAAGGCGACUUGCUGGGCAGCAACUGACGCUGAGGCGCGAAAGCCAGGGGAGCAAACGGGAUUAGAAACCCCGGUAGUCC
rnacentral:rRNA from 1 species